UACGUAGGGUGCAAGCGUUGUCCGGAAUUAUUGGGCGUAAAGAGCUCGUAGGCGGUCUGUCGCGUCGGCUGUGAAAACUCGGGGCUCAACUCCGAGCCUGCAGUCGAUACGGGCAGACUAGAGUGCUGUAGGGGAGACUGGAAUUCCUGGUGUAGCGGUGAAAUGCGCAGAUAUCAGGAGGAACGCCGGCGGCGAAAGCGACUCUCUGGCCUGUAACUGACGCUGAGGCGCGAAAGCUAGGGGAGCAAACGGG
rnacentral:rRNA from 1 species